GCUCCUGUCAACAUGUUCUGAGGCAAAUAGUUAGCAUAUUGAGGAAUAGGAGAGUCGGGAGAGAGAGGUCUAAACUCCAAUGACGUAUGAGAACCUGGUGAGGAUGGUCUCAGCUCUUUCAACCAAUGCUCCAGGAAAGACAGCUUGUAGUCAGACUCUGAGGAUAGAGAAUCAGGUGACAGCGGUCGUAGUGCCAUCACACAUUCACCAACCACAUUUUUGAAUGCCUCAUCUGAUCCUGAUAGAGGGGACUCUGGUCUCACCUCAUAUGGCACUUGUUCAUAGUUCCAGUUGGUAUCAAAGUACUCUAUGUCUGAUGUUGCUGAGUGAGGAGAUGCAGAUCUGUUCCACUGAAUGGCAGGCACUGUAGACAUAUUAAAUUGAGGUACAGGGGAGUCAGGAGUAAGGGCUCUAGUGAAGGAAUUAGACUCAGAUGAAGGCCUGUCCUCAAGGAAGAAGUCUUCCAGAUAAUACUCUUCGCUCUCACUGUCUGAUAUUGCAGAAAUGGGAGAUAAGCUUUGGAUACCAGUGGAGUGCAUUGAGAUAGUCAAUGGAAUUUCAUACUGUGGAACUGGAGAGUCAGGGGAGAGCGGCCUGUAUUCAUCGAGUGAUGAAAUAGAUUCAGGAGAGAAGGCUCUCACUUCUUCAAGCCACUUUGAGAAAAAUAAGCAGUAGUCUGUUUCAGAUAUCAGUGACUCCGGUGUCAAUGGUCUAUAUUUAGUCAAAUAUUUACUGGUGGUUUCAUCAUCUAAAAUGACUGAUUCUGGUGAAUCGGGUCUGUCCUCGUCAAACAACUCUGCCAGACAGAGGUCAGAGUACUCAACAUCUGACGCUAGAGAUACGGGAGAUGAUGAUCGUUUACCUGUGAAGUUUAACAGUUCAAAUGUCUGGCAGCCAUAUUCAGGAAUAGGUGAAUCAGGAGACAGAGGUCUACAUGCAUCUGGUGAAUAUGAUGAAUCUGGACACCACGUUCUGUCUUCAUUGAACAACUCAUUCAGACACAACUCAGAAUACUCAAUGUCUAGGAUUGGUGAUGUAGGAGAGGAUGAUCUACUUCCUGUGUAGAUUGACGUCUCAAAUUUCACAUUACCAUAGUCAGGAAUAGGUGAAUCAGGUGAGAGGAAUCUACCUUCAUCACAUAAACACAAUGGUUCCGGUGAAUCUAUUCUCCCUUCUUGGAACAAUUCCUCAAGAUAAAGAUCAGAGUAUUCAAUAUCUGACGCUAAAGAUACGGGAGAUGAUGAUCGUUUACCUGUGAAGUUCAACUGCUCAAAUGUAUGGCAGCCAUAUUCAGGAAUAGGGGAAUCAGGAGACAGGGGUGUAUAUUCAUCUAAUGAUGUAAAGGCUUCUGGUGAGGACGUUCUUUCUUCCUCUAACCAUUCAAGGAAAGAUAAUGAAUAGUCAUUUUCAGAUGUGAGGGAGUCUGGUGAUAUUGGUCUAUGCUCACUCAGGCCUCUCACAGUCCCGUUGGUGUUUAUUUCUGAUUCCAGUGACUCUGGUCUGUCUUCACUGAACAACUCUUCAAAACACAUUUCAGAGUAUUCAUUAUCAGAUACUAGAGAUAUGGGAGAUGAUGUUCUAUUACUUCCAUAGACAAACUGCUCAAGUAUUGGGCAAACAAACUCAGGAAUAGGUGAAUCAGGAGACAGAAGUCUACCUUCAUCACAUAAACACAAUGGUUCAGGUGAAUCUAUUCUCCCUUCUUGGAACAAUUCCUCAAGAUAAAGGUCAGAGUAUUCAAUAUCUGAUGCUAAAGAUACGGGAGAUGAUGAUCUGUUGCUUCCAUAGACUAACUGCUCAUAUUGAUUACAGCCGUACAGAGGAACAGGUGAAUCAGGAGACAGAGGUCUACAGGUAUCAUAUGAAUAUGAAGAUUCUGGUGAAUUUGGUCUGUCCUCAUUGAACAGCUCAUCAAGACAAAAUUCAGCGUAUUCAAUGUCUGAUGCUAGAGACGAAGGAGAUAAAGAUCCAUCACUCAUGUAGAUGAACUGUUUAGAAGUAGGAUGGCCAUACUCAGGAACAGGGGAAUCAGGUGACAGUGGUCUAUGUCCAUCAAGUGACAUUGUUCCUGGUGAAGGCAGCCUUGUCUCAUUGGGCCACUCUUCAGAAUAGACAUCAUACUCAAUGUCACUUUCAGAGGCUAAAGAAUUAACAGAGGAAGAUGCUGCUCCAACCACAGAAAUGAAUACUUCAGGUUGGGGACAUUUGAACUGAGGAAUUGGUGAGUCAGGACAUAAUACUUCAUCCUCUGAUGACAAAGAGUCUGCAUAUUCUGGUGAGUUCAAUGUGUACUCAGAGUACAACUCUCCCAUGUCUGAAUCUGAGGAUCCAUUUUCAGAAUAUACAUAUCCAGGAGAGCAUGGUCUAAAGCCAUUAAUUGAAUUGAUACACUCAGGGACUCUGUAGUCAGGCACUGGGGAGUCAGGAGACAUGGACCUAAACUCAUUCUGAGAUGCAAUAGAUUCUGGAGAAGAUGGUCUACUGGCUUCUGGUGUAAAACUUAAGUCUUUGUUUCCUCUAACUUCUGAGGCCAGUGCUAAUGGUAAGUUUCCACUUCUGGCCACCAUGACUUCAGGCACAUUUCUAUACUUUGCAAUGCAAGGCAUCAGCUGUGGCUCAAUGCUAGGCUCUGGCUUCAUCUCACCUAACCGGGGUACAUAGUCUUUCAUACAUGUAUUGAGUAAACAAGGCCUUCUUUCAUUGAAAUGCCCUUCUAACCCUGGACCCAGGGGGCUGCCACCUAAAGAAACACCCAAGGACAAUUCCUGUCCUGAGAGGGGUGUUUCAGGAGGCACUCUUAAGUCUAGUUUGGAUAUCACAGCCUCUGCAAGCAUUCUCUCUUCCAAUGGGACAAGACCAUGCUCUACAGGUUGUGAGAAUGGCUGGGGACCUGAGAACUUUACUUUUUCAGAGGGAGAUGCAGGGAGUGCAGAUGCCUUAUUACAUGACCUGGAAGUCCUUGGCAUAAAUACAUUUGAUAUGUAUGAUUUUCCUUGGCUGAUAAAAGAUGUCUUUGCUCGCACCACUGGAUUAUCCUUAUCAGUUUGCCCACUUGAUGAACUGGCAGAGUCAUUUACCAGCUGAUCAUAUUUGGUGUCAUGAUGGGGGUGUAAUGUGUCUGUUUGGGUGUCCCAUGGUUUUGAGGCUCCCUGUAAUGAUUCAGGACCUUGGAAAGGGAGUCUUUCUUGUGUUAAAAUGCUCUUCUUAGACUUGAUUGGGGCUGAGUUAUUGAGAAAAGCCUGAUGCAGACUUGUGGUUUCAUAAAGUUCAUCAAUAAAGGGUAUGAGGGGUUCUUCCCUGGGACAAGUUUGGGCCUUCAAAGCCUUGCUUGCCCCACCAAGUUUGGAGUUUGUACAGUGUUUAUCUGGGUCGUCAUCCUCUACAAUGGCCAAAGAAACUGUGUGAUUCUCAGUUGAUCUUGUGUGACCAUGCUCACAAACUACACUGCUUAAGUUCAUGUCAACGAGGUCCUCUCUGAGUUCAGUUAAUAGCUCACUGAAAUCUGUCUCAGCUUGGUCUGACUCUGAGAGACAAUGGCCAAAGUCUUGAAUAGAUAUAGGUGCCAGUGGAUUAACAGGUCUGGGAAAUGAUGACCUUGGAUCGCCUUGGAUAAGUUCCUCAUCGCCCAUUGUAUUUUGGGGAUGUUUUCUCAACCCAGACUGAAAUCCAUGUUCAGUGGAGUCCCAUGGUACAGGUGCAGCAGCACCAACUGUGGACUCAGUCAUAGGAUUUGUGUUUUGCGGUGGGGAGACCCUUCUGUAUUGUGGAUCAUACACUUGCGACAUCAGCUUCGAAGGCUCAGCAGUAUUGUCAAAAUGUAGAUGACUUACUUGUCUGUCAAGGCCCUCAUUUGAUGACCCAGCCCUCAUCUCUCGAGCAGCCCAUGGGUUGGUGAUAAAGUCCCUAAGGAAAAUGGAAAAUGAGGUGUAUGUUAGUGCUGAUUUACUUCAAUAAAAUGGCCACAAAGAUCAAAUCAAAUAAUUUCUUUACUAUUUUUCGGUAUUUCGACCUACUGUGUAAUGUCAAGUUCUUCUAGGAGGUCUCCAUGCAUGCUUUCAGAAUGGGUGUGCCCCGCAGGCUCUGACCAGGACGGGAUGUCCAGGAGAGAGGCCACGGACAGGUCUUCCUCAGAAACCGCUGGAGGUUGCCGUUGUGAGGAUUCCACCCUUCUUACCAGUCGCGGACUUUCUACAUCUUCCUGAACUGAGGAGAGAGCUGGACACAGAAACAUACAGAAAAGUGUGUAUGGAUGCAUACACACACACACACACACACACACACACACUCAGUGGAAACUGAAUAGCUAGAAGAUUAAACUUCCUCAUGCAGUACAACAAGAUAUGUGCAUUUGAUGUUGUCAUUAAGCCACUGCUUAGUAACCACUGCGGGGUAGUAUUUGAAGCCAAAGAUGUGGCCUCAAAACAUAGCACAUAAAUGCAAUACCGUGUUGAAUGUUUUUAUUAUGUGUUUAUAGCAUUAGCUGACCAAUACAUUCUACCUUCACUGUGAUCAAGAGUCCUCUCAAUUUCUGCAUACGUCCGUGAGGUCUGCUCCUGGACUGACUUGUUCAUCUGUGUCUCAAGGAGGUGGACUAUGUCCAUGCGAUUUAUUGCAGUGAGCCUCUUGAUCAAGCAAUCCUCUGCGAGGAUAAAUGACAUAAAAUGAGUUAUGCCUAUCCACACAUUAAUACAUUUUUUAAUUCAAAACAGAUUAAGAAUAGGGUUUGGGUAGUAUGUACAAAUGUAGAAAAGGGUGAUGAGCUCAUAUUCACCAGUGGCAUGCUUCGCCUCACGCUCCACCCAGCGCUGCAGCAGUGCCUGACUUUGCUCCUGCAAGGAGUUUGGGUUCUCUGACCGCACCAGCUGUAUUUCAUCCUCAUUGAACUCCAGUUCUUUUGCCAGCUCUGGAGAAUUUUACAUUUAUUGAAUCUUAUGUUUUAGAAUCCCUCUUUGCGAGCAAGCUCUGAUCCAGUAAGAUUCAUUUAAAAACAGAGUAUAUAUAAUAUCAGGGAGAUUGGUGGUCAUCACAUCCACAUUCAUUAGCAUAUGAGACUUACCAGUCCAACUAAACCCAAGGAGGUCAGAAACUAUUGCCAAUGUUUCUUCCUUUCUGUCUGCAUCUUCCUGCCAGUCCACUGGAAGUUCACACAAAUCAUUAAGAGUAAGAUACCAGUACAAGAGUAAAAGACCAGAGGCCACAUAUGCUGCUAGAACUCAAUUUAUUAUAUUAAUUGAAAGUGGAAAUAUCUGCCUAAAAACCUGUAAGUGCUGCUUCUUUGUCAUGGUCAGUUCUAUCUUUAUUAAGAAUGGCAUAAACUAGCUGAUCUGUGAUGACUGAAAAAACUUGACCAAGGAAUCUAGAGUAGCACACUCAUGUUUAGUACCUCGAGAUUAUUAAGUGCUUUUCACAAUGUUAACAUAUACAUAUGCAUAUGCCUUAAGACCCACUGAUCAGAGCAGACGCAGUAGGUAGGGUCAAUCAGAAACCCAGUAUUGUUUAUAUGGAGUAUGUGAUAAUAUGAUGGUACAUUCCCCAUAUGGAGGUUGCCUCUGAAAUGGAUCUGGCCCUGAUUGGUUCCAUACUUAGCUGUCUGAGUAGAACUAUAAUCUACUUAUGUGAUCUGAUUGAAAAAAAUAGACCUUUCUAAUUCACUUCAGCUGCUAUCUGAGUAGAACUAUAAUCAAUCUACUUAUGGGUUCUGAUUAAAACGACUUUGUUAACAUGACUUCUAAUUCACAUCAAUUAUGUUUCAAAAUCUACUUAUGUGUUCUGAUUAAAAUGACUGCGUUAACAUGACUUUUCUAAUUCACUCCAGUUAUGUUUCGAAAUCCUGGAUUUAUGCAACAGUGAAAUAUGGUAAACUAAAAUAAAAGUUUAGAGAUGUGGAUAUACAUAAGGACCCACUAAUCUUGAGACCUUAAACAUGGAAGUGGUGCACUCAUCAUUUAUAAUUUGAUCAUUUUUAUGUCAUUUCUUUUUCCACUGUCCAUGCAUGGAACUCACACCUGUAAAAGGAGUGUAAAGUACCAUGCUGAAACUAGCAACAGCAUGUUAUAAAAACUAUGUUAGAUUUUCAUGUUUGGGUUAGAAAGACCUUCCAUGCAAAUGACUAUGGAAUUCAGUAAUGCUUAUAAAAAUGGGUUAUCACAUGUUGAAUUUGACGUAUACAGUGCCACAUGCAGAGUAGUUUUAUUCUAUUAUCAGAGCAUUUCUGACAUUAAACUAAAAAGGGAGAGAGUCAAUCUUGAGAUUGGAAAUGUACACAAAGAUGGCUGGAUGGAAAGGCAGCAGAAAAAAAGUGAGCUGAUAACUGAACACACAGAAACACAGAGGACAACACAAGACAACAACACACAGCACAAAACAACACACAACACAGUGACAAAACAGAACAACAAAGAGGUGACGAUGGACACUUAGGCAGGAAAAAGAGGUCUUUUGGUUGAGGGAAGUAGAGGAAAAAGAGAGGGGGACAGACCCAUUGAGAUGAUACCUUGACAUUGUUCUGAGGUAGCGCUGUCAGAGAUGCGCUGCAUCUGAGUCUCCACACAACUGUCCCAGUGGGGCCUUGACUCAAAGACAUCAUCUGUAAUGGAGGAAGGCCGUACCCCUGGAACAGCUCUACUCUCUGCAUCUGGAGCACAAGAGGCUCUCUCAUUCUGUUUGGGGUCUCCAGAGCCAGGCAACUCUGAGUUGCAAGAGGUCUUACUGAUGUGACGAGAUGUAAUGGUUUGUUCAUGUGAGAUACUGUGCUGGAUUUUUUCAGUGUAAGAAGAAUGUGAAUGUCUGUGUUUACUUAUGACUGGGAGUCUUGAGCUAGAGAUCUUUGGUUUGGUCAAGGACUGACUCCUCUCUGAAAGACUACGGGUGUGUGUAGUAGAUAAGAGAUGCCCUGUGUGUUCAUCACCAGCAUCAGACUUUGAACGAUGCUCCUGUAGAGGAGUCUCUGAUUUUUUUGCAGAGCUUAUGUCUGAUUUCACUGAACCUGCUUUCACUGGAAUCUUUGACUUGGAUUUAAUUUCUACUGAAAACACAGAGAUGUCAUCUUGAGGGGGAUCUGAGAUUUCAGAUGCAGUGGAUUCAGUGAGACUGGUGUGGCCCAGCACGUCGUAGGUUAGGGAGGGAAUUUCAAUAACGGAUUGCGGCUCAUCCUCAUUAGAGGAGUCAGAGGAUUCGGAAUCCUGAUCUGAGUACACAGACCGCGUGACAGUAGAGCUGGCUGUGUCCACAUCCAUUAUAGUGGACACUGAGGUGUCAGGAGGUUCAAGGAAAUCUCUCUCUUGGUGUGAAUAGUUGGGGCUACCAGGAUGAACGUCAAGUGAGUCAGACGGAGUGACAUUUGAGAAGUUGGAGGUCUGCGGUGUAGAAUCAAACUCUUCCUUUGUUUGAUCCUCUGUUACUGAGUCUCUGUUGUCCAUUUUAGAGUCUUCGCUUACAUCCAUAUCACUUUUUUCUGUGUCCUCCUCCACAGCAUCAUCAUUUAAUGGGAAAAAAGCUCGCUCUUCAAUCUCCUCUUCCAAGCUCCUCCUGGUCAUAUCAAUAGCACCACCUCUGGUCAUCUCAAAGAGCUUCCCCUCCUGGAAGAGGAAUGGAUUUGGAGUUCCCUCUUCUGUGGGCGUUCGGCCUGGUGUGGAAUCUGGUGUUUGCCGCUGGGGCAGCUCUUCCAAGGGAAGACCAAAAACCCUGCUUUCUUCAGCUUCCACUCGUGCCUUAAAACUUUCAUCAUCUUCUAAAUCAGCACUCCAUGGGACCAGAUCUCCUUUAAUAUCCUCAGGGAUGCCCGUUGACAGUGUGUCAUGAUUGGCAGCCUGUGAAACCUGAUAACUUACAUCUCCCUCCUGAAUGCAUAUUUUCGUGUUAAGAUCUUCCUGAAGAUUCUGUGUCACAGCUUGCGGACAGAGAGGGAGGUCAGCAGAGUGAUCGUCUUGUUUUACAGAUGAUAUCAAAUGAGCUCCACUGCUAUCAUCUAAGACAACAGAUACGGUAUUAUUGUCAGUGGCUGAGUAGCUGGACAUUCCUUGUUUUCCUGCCUCUUCAGUAGAGGUAAGGCACUUCAACAGAUCUGAACAAUCCUCCUCACUCUCAUCCACAAAUGUUUGCAUAGAUAUAAUAUCCUUUGUAUAGUCCUCUCUGUGUUCAAAGGCAUCUUUUUCCUGGUUUGUGGUCCCAGGUGAAUCAUCCUUUAAGACUCCUUGGAGUAGUUUAACCUCUUGAAGGCUAUGGCUUUCAGGUUUGGGAGAUGAUGACAGCAAUGGGUUUGGGUCAGCUGUGAUAUCAGAAUGGUCUUCCCAUGCCAUCCAAUCAUCUUGGGCUUGUGAUGGACUCUUGUGAUCCUCUGACUCCUCUAGAGCAAACCUGACCUCCUUCUUACUUUUAACGUCCUUCUCCAUUUCGUCAAAUGUUUUGAUUUUUGCUGCCAUUUUAAACAUUUCCUCUUCUGGAGUAAGCUGCUUCUGAUCUGUUUCUGAGUUCUGUUGGUCCAUAUCUUUGUCCGCAUUGUCUGAGGAGGAAGCAGAUAGAUUUGUGGACAUUGGAAGGCACUGUUGGUGAGAUGGAAUGCCAAACUCAAAAUCGCAAUCUUCAGAGGAAUAGGCUCUUUCAAAAUCAACUUCUCUUUGAAAGUCAACUUCAAUCCCUGAUCCAGGACUGAGUGGACUGUCGGGAGACUGAGCAGCUUGCUUUGGUUCUGAGAAAAAAUCUGCCCUCUCUCCUAUCGGGCUUCCCUCCAGGGAGUCUGGACAGGGAGAGUCUUUGGUUGGACUUGGCUCAAGCGAGUCAGGAGAUUUAUGUGAAGAGCCAUCCUCUAUGACAGGACUGACCUCCAGGGAGUCCCUACGACAUACACUGGCAUUAUCAUCCAUGACAACAGACCACAGAGCGUCUAUGUUUGAAGGUCUGGAUGGGGUAUCUAUUCCCUCUGUUCCAGAGCUUACAGUUAUCUGUCUGUCUUGUAUGGAUACCUCGGACUCUGCUGAGAAAGAGGAGCCAAAUGAGUCUCCAGUCAUAAAAUCUGAAGUUUUGGUAGGGCUUCUGGAAUUACUUUGUACAGCAUUAUCAUUCUCCUCCUGGGUGUUGGGGAUUACUUGGGGAAGUUCAGAAUAUCCCUCAUGUCUUUCUCCUUUAUCUAUACUUGUAUAAGGUGUAUCUCUUGAUGAACUGGAGCCAACUUCAUCUCCAUCAAGCUCAGGACCAGCAUCGAGAUCCUUGCACUGAAACUCUUUUGAAAUGAUAAUGGCUCUCUCCUCAUCCAAUUUAGAGGAUAAAUCUGUGUCAAAUUCUACCUCAAUACUACUCUCUCUUUGGUAUUCAAUCUGUGAAUUAUUAAUCCCUGAGCAAAAUAUAAAGUUGUUGUCCACUGUGGUAGACGUCUGCCUGAAAAUUUGGUACUCAGGAUUGGCUUCUAAUUCUGCUUUGAUGUCAGCACUGAAGUCCUCAGAGGUUCUCCUGUCUGGGCUAAUCUGAAACUCCUCUGAUGACAUUGGGUCUCGGCUCAGCCCUGGAGAUAGAAUAUUGAACUGUCCAGAACUAGUUACCCUUUCCUCACCAUUAAUUACCCCUGACUCAGUCUCUGGCUUCUCUCUUUGAAAUGUUUCUGACAUCUCUGAUUGAUUGUCAUUAUCACUGAUGGUUUUCGUUAGAACAACCUCCUCAAAACUUUCCUUAACAAUCUCCUGACUUAACGAACGAUCAGAUACAGCAGGUAUCUCCUCUAGGUACUGCUCUAGGUCUCCACUUAAAUGUGAGACCAUGCCAGAUAUGUCCUUCACCGAAGCUCUUGACGUGGAGAAUUUUUUGUCAAUUUUAACUUCUUGGAAGGCAGCUUCUUGUGACUGCUCUAGAACUGGAUCCUUAUUUGGUGAAUCUUCUAAACUGCUCCAAGGCUUUUCGAAGUCUUCUGAUUGUGUAUAAUCUGUACUUCUAACUCUACUUAACACAACCUCUUCCAACUUUUCCUCGAAAAUCCCCUGAUUUGCAGACUGAUCAUUCACAACUGGUAUUUUCUCUAAGUACUGGUCCAGGUCUCCAGUAAGAUGUGAGAGCAUGCUAGACAUGUCUUUCACUGGUGCUGAUUGUUUAUCAUCUACAAUGGUGACCUUUCUUAACAUAACCUCUUCAAAUGUCUCCUCUAUAAUGCCUUGACUUGCACAAUGAUCAGAGACAGCUGGUAUUUUCUCUAAGUAAAGGUCAAGAUUGCCAGUAAGAUGCGAGACCAUCCCAGACAAGUCUUUCACUGGGGCUGAUGAUGUGGGGGAUGUCUCUCUAGCUAUUUGAAACUCUUGGAGCAGAGGUUCCUGUAUCUGAUCUGAUGUAUUAGCCAAACUCUCAUUCUGAAAUGUGCCCUCAACCACAUCACUUGCCAUUGCCUCUGAAAGCUCACCCUGACUGUUAUCUUGUUUUCUCUCCUCUUUUGAUGAAAUAUGAACAAGCUCAUCUUUUGGUGAACUGCGACCAAACUCAUCUGUUGGUGAUGUUUCUAAACUAUCCCCUGAUCUCUCAAAUUGACAUGCAUCUGAUUCUUGAUCGUCUCUGGUGAUGACUCUACCCAACACAACUUCUUCAAAUGUCUCCUCUAUAAUGCCUUGAUUUGCAAAAUCAUCAGAGACAGCUGGUAUUUUCUCUAAGUACAGGUCAAGAUUGCCAGUAAGAUGUGAGACCAUCCCAGACAAGUCUUUCACUGGGGCUGAUGAUGUGGGGGAUGUCUCACUAGCUAUUUUAAACUCUUCAUAUAAAGGCUCCUGUAUCUGAUCUGAGGUAUGCAUCCAUCUCUCAUUCUGUGAUGUGCCUUCAACCACAUCACUUCUCAUUGCCUCUGACACCUCAGACUGACUAUCAUCUCCUCUGACAACCCUGCUUAACACAACUUGUUCAAAGGUCUCCUGGACAAUGUCUUUAUCAGGAGAAUGAUCAGGUGCGGAUGGUGAUUUCUCUAGGUACUGAUCAAGGUCCCCAGUCAGAUGUGAGACCAUUCCAGACAUGUCUUUCACUGUUGUCUUUGACUCAGCGGGAGUGUUUCUGUCUACUCUGACCUCUUGCAGAAUUGACUUCUGCAAUUGUGGUGAACAAGGACUUAAAUCUUCCUUCUCUGAUUUCUCUGGUCUAAUAACAGGUAUGUUUUUUUCAACCUCCUCUGGAACACAAGGUUUUUCAGGUGUGCUGACACCUCUUCUUAAAAUAACCUCUUCAAAUCUUUCUUGGACAACCUCCUGAUCUAAUGAAUGAGUUGUUGUUUGUAUUUUUUCUAGAUACUGGUCCAGGUCUUGAGUAAGAUGAGAGGCCAUUCUAAAUUCUUCCACUUGUAAUUUUAGUGGACUAGAAAUAAGCGUGUCAUUUUGAAAGUCUUCUGAAAUUUCAGAUUGUAUUUCAUCUUGGCAAAUCACUUUCCUUACAAUAGAUUCUUCAAAAGUUUCCUGAACAAUCUCUUGAUCUGAAGAUUCACUAGUAACUGCUGGAAUUUCCUCCAGGUACUGCCCUAGGUCUUGCGUGAGAUGUGAAAUCAUGCUGGACAUGUUCACUGCUGUUCUUGAGUCAGGGUAAGUGUUACUGUCCACUUCAGCAUCCUGCAAAUUGAUCUUGUAAUCUGAACUUCGCGAUGUAUCUGAACUGAUGCAAGGUUUAUCAAUCUGCAGUUUUUCUGGGAUGUCAGUUUGAUUUAUGGCUGUUUUCUCAGAAAUGCUCAGAUCAUGCCCAGGAGCAACUGUGUCAAGGCUAUCCUCAAUUUUGUCAGACUGAACAAAAUCUGAACGGAUGUCUUGCUGCCCAGAAAUACAUUUUGAGGUUAUUUGGCUUGAUUGACCAUCGUCUUCAUGAUUUGCUUGAAAGAUCACUGUGGUUGUUUUCAUGGCUUUGUGCUCAAAAAGGCCAGAUUUGCUUUUGGAUGGGUCUUGGCCCUCCUGAAAUGCUUUCAUUAAUUCCCUCACAGACAUAGUUUCCUCCAGCCUCUCAGUCUGAGAUCGGGGAGAUUUGGGGGACUUUGGAGGAGGUUCUUCACUCUCUUUCAGAUAAGACUUACUUUGAAUACCAGUCACUUGUGGAGGCUUCCGCUUACGGCUUAAUCCCUCCUCUUCUUCAACUUUAUUUUGAAGUGCUUUUACCCUGUCUUUAAUGGAGCCUAUAGGUCUCUCCUCCACCAGAGGUGAGGCUGGGAAUAGGCCUGUGGUGGAUUCAGGUUCACCAAGAAUGAUGUCUCCAUCCAGAGAUUCCUCAGAGCUGAACCUCUGCAGUUCAUCUUCUGAGCUUUCACCAGCACAUUCCCUGUCCCUAAUCUUUCGCCUAGCAGGCUUUUUGACUUUAGGAAGAUGCCGCCUACCAUCUCUGGUCGCCACAAUCUCAUUGGAUUUAUCCUGUGUAACUUCAUGUUUUGAAAGAUGAUCGGACACCACAAGUGUGCUAUUGAAAUGCUGGUCAAGGUCUGCACUAAGAUGAGUAGUUGCACUAGGCAUGUCCUUCACUGAUGUUGAAGAUGUGGAGGUGUCUCUGAAAAUUCGGAUUUCCUGAGAGUCAGUGUUAGCUUUAGCCUGUGUGAUUUCGGGUUCACUGAGAACUACCCAUUCCCCCUUCUUGUUUUUUGACCAUUGGGUGUCUCUCUCCUCUCCAGUUUCUGACAAUGCUCCUCCUCGCAGUAUUUCAUCAACUUUUUCCAGAUCCUCCUUUACUUUCCCCAUGAUUUCAAAAGGUUCUUCAGGAUCUUCAUGCACUUUUCUAAUGGUCUGUGAUUGCUUUGUGUCAUCUAAAGAGUCAGGUUCUUCAGAUAGGUCAGUUGUAAGGAUAGCCGACACUUUGAUGAGGUCUUGUUUCAUGUCAGACACCUCUGAGAGAAGGUCUGGACUUGCUAAUGUGGCUGGGUCAUUCACCAUGUGUGUUUGCAGGAUGGAUAAUUCAGUUGACUCUGUUUCGUCAUCAUCUUUUUGAUGACAUAAAAAUAAAUUUAAAAAAGGAAAAUGAAGGGGGGAUAAGAAGAAUCUCUGGUCAAGGCAGGAGAAUAAGUAUUUAUCUUCAGUUGACAGGACAAGGAGGCUGGUUCACAUGAAAAUGACAGACAUUACAUUUGACUGAUGGAUCCAGGAGACUUUGAGGUUGGCACAGCAACAGCAAAGCAAAGCAAAAAGAAGAUAAACCGUAUGAAAAUAGAUGGCGAGGAAAUAACUUGCUUAAACAUGUUACAUGUUGAACUGCAUAUUCCUCAUAUAUGAAGAAGGGAGCGAGGAAACAAAAGUACAAAAGAGAAUGUAAAUAAAGUACAAACAGAGGGGUUAAACAAACAAAUAAUUAAAACAAGCAAACAAACAAUAGAAUACAAACCAAAUGGACGACAGAAAGUGGAGAUAAACCAUCUCAAGAUUGUCAAGUGACAAAUCAGAACAGCAAUUUCAUUUUUUUAGUAAAAAAUCAUAUCAGUUUGACAUUUUUAGAAAUUAUAUUUUUUUUCUGUUUGAAUCCUCAGAGGCUAUGGCAAAGAAAGUCUGAGAUAUAAAUUGUUGUGAACUCUCAUUCACUUGAGGACAAAUGUAAAUGAAAGAAAACAUUCACUGAAAUGAUAACAAUAAUGGUGAACUGAAUGAAAGAGUGAGAUAAAUACAAAGAAAACUCAAAGUUUGGGAAAAUGCUUUCUUACAGCCAGAGGCAAGACCACAGGCACACAUACUGUAGUCAGUAGAUUACAGUUACAAACAUAUAAAAUGUGAAAGUCAAGUUAUUUCCAUGCAAAACCAAAAGCUUGUGUUCAUGCAAUCCUAAACAAACCAAAAGCAAAGAACAGCAAGCAAAAUGAAAAAGCAAAACCUAAUUUUAUCUGAAAAUGAUAAAAUUGUCUACCAUUAUUUUUUAAAGUUGAUAUCCCCACAUAAUGGUACAGACUCAAAUAUUACUGUAAACCAAAUUCAGGAUGGAUAGUCAAACCGUGCUAAUACAACCCUAAUGCUAUGAAUAAUGUAGUGGUAUGAGGAAUGAUAUGGUUUAAAAAUACAACAAAAGAGAAUAGAAAAGAUGAAAUAGAUGGAGACGGCAAAGUGAUUAUCAGCCAUAGGUAGCAUAUCAGCUUGGGAUCCAUGUCCAUGCUUUACUCUAAAGGCUCUGACUUAACUACUGAAUCCAUAAAUCGGUUAAAAGGUACUGUUAUGCAGAACAACAUUUCUAAGCCUAUAUAUCUACUGUAUGAUUAAUACAGCCUUUACUAUCAAUAUGCUUUAACAAGGUAAAACUAUGCUAAUUGCUCAGGUGGUAAAGUUAGUAAAGUUAUUCCAAGAUAAAAGUGUCUUACAUUUCUCAUGUGUCUUGUCACUCUGUAGGGAAGGGACAAUUUAAAAAAUUGUUAUGAUGAUCAAACACAGUGUUACAUACACCGUACAUAUACUAUAUUAUUAACUAACAAAUUAAGAAUAUUUACUGUUGUCUCUCUUUUAUAGGCACAUAAUAAUGCAUUUAAUGAUAACUGUUAAUGAUAAUGCUGAUAAAUAGAGUAAAUAAAUUAGAUUUUUUAUUUCAUAAUAUUUGUAAAGAAAUAAAUGUACCUCCUCAUCUGCAUCCUGAUCAGAAUCAGAGUCCUAAUUAGAAGACAAGAUCAGUUAAUUUAGUGCAGGACAUGAACCAAUCUAUGUACUUAUAUAUAUAUAUACAAUUCUAAAACCAAUGAAUUCUUACCUUUGAGUAUGUGGGCAGAGUGAUGUUCAGAUUACAGAUGGCAUUGUGUGUAAGACUUCUGUACGUACGAGGCUCCUUUGUGAAAGACAAUCUUCCACAAGGUUCUUGAGCGCUAUCUCGAAUCUGUUGAUAAAUCAAGUUUAUAUGUUGUGAACAGUCAGGAAUGCAGAGGUAGUGGCAUUCUAAUAGAAACAGUCAUAUAACUUUGGAAAAAAGAAUGCUUGAAAGUCCAUCUCACCUUGAUGAACAGUGCCAAGCGGUUCUCUUUGAAGGCAAAGAAGCUGAAGACAUGAUGUUGACCACUCUUGGUAAGAGGCACCAGGUUUCCAAAACAGUCAGCAAAGAUUGGUUUCCCCUCUAAAACCUGAGAAACAUACGACUGGAAUUUACUUCACACCCACACACUCUAUACUGUGAACUUUAGUGUAGACUGGGAGAGAGGCUCAGGGCAGCAAGGGUGCCCAUCAGCAUUACCCCCGUCACACUGUCCUCCCCUCAGCUCUUUCUCUUAUGGCCUAUUCCCUUUACUUGUGCAAACCAGUUGGUGAACUAUGGUGCUUUCAUGACCCACAGUGCUAUGUUCAUGGGUUCAGUGUAAACAUUUUAGAUGUGUACCUCAACAUCUCGACUCCGUGCCACCUCUGUGAAGUUCUCCUGCUGCUCCAGUGUCUUGUCCAUUUUGUCGUCUGUCAUGCAGAAGCAUCGUAACCGGGCUUCUAUGGGGUCCAGUGUUUUGGCAAAGAUAACAAACUUGGCCAUGUAUGGAACACAGAUCAUUUCCCGGUAUAUCUGGGUAGAGAAGUUCACAGACUCCUGGAUCUGUCGGCAGUCAAUCAACCAGAAUCUGUGAGGCGGG
ensembl:lncRNA